UGGGGAUAUUGCACAAUGGGGGAAACCCUGAUGCAGCGACGCCGCGUGAGUGAAGAAGUAUUUCGGUAUGUAAAGCUCUAUCAGCAGGAAAGAUAAUGACGGUACCUGACUAAGAAGCACCGGCUAAAUACGUGCCAGCAGCCGCGGUAAUACGUAUGGUGCAAGCGUUAUCCGGAUUUACUGGGUGUAAAGGGAGCGCAGACGGCAUGGCAAGCCAGAUGUGAAAGGUGGGGCUCAACCCCCAAGCUGCAUUUGGAACUGUCAAGCUAGAGUAUCGGAGAGGUAAGUGGAAUUCCUAGUGUAGCGGUGAAAUGCGUAGAUAUUAGGAGGAACA
rnacentral:rRNA from 1 species